UACGUAGGGUGCAGGCGUUAAUCGGAAUUACUGCGCGUAAAGCGUGCGCAGGCGGUUUCUUAAGUCAGAUGUGAAAGCCCCGGGCUUAACCUGGGAACUGCGUUUGAAACUGGGAGACUUGAGUGUGGCAGAGGGGGGUGGAAUUCCACGUGUAGCAGUGAAAUGCGUAGAUAUGUGGAGGAACACCGAUGGCGAAGGCAGCCCCCUGGGUUAACACUGACGCUCAUGCACGAAAGCGUGGGGAGCAAACAGG
rnacentral:rRNA from 1 species